rnacentral:rRNA from 1 species
AUUGAACGCUGGCGGCAUGCUUUACACAUGCAAGUCGAACGGCAGCGCGGGCUUCGGCCUGGCGGCGAGUGGCGAACGGGUGAGUAAUACAUCGGAACGUGCCCAGUAGUGGGGGAUAGCUCGGCGAAAGCCGGAUUAAUACCGCAUACGACCUGAGGGUGAAAGCGGGGGAUCUUCGGACCUCGCGCUAUUGGAGCGGCCGAUGGCAGAUUAGCUAGUUGGUGGGGUAAAGGCCUACCAAGGCGACGAUCUGUAGCUGGUCUGAGAGGACGACCAGCCACACUGGGACUGAGACACGGCCCAGACUCCUACGGGAGGCAGCAGUUGGGAAUUUUGGACAAUGGGCGAAAGCCUGAUCCAGCAAUGCCGCGUGUGUGAUGAAGGCCUUCGGGUUGUAAAGCACUUUUGGCGGGAACGAAAAGGACUGUGCCAAUACCACGGUUCGAUGACGGUACCCGCAGAAUAAGCACCGGCUAACUACGUG